GGGGGUCUAGAUCAGUGGCAGAGUGUUUGCCGAGCAUGCAUGAAAUCCUAGGUUCCAUCCCUAGCAUCCUCC
rnacentral:tRNA from 1 species